rnacentral:pre_miRNA from 1 species
GGGGGGAGGCCGGAAUCUGUGCUGUGUCCCGGUGCCCUGUGAUCCCGGUCUGCGCUGUUGGAUUCACGCUCCGGCUGUGCAGCCCCCU